AUUGAACGCUGGCGGCAGGCCUAACACAUGCAAGUCGAACGCGUGGCGGACGGGUGUGUAAUGUCUGGGAAACUGCCCGAUGGAGGGGGAUAUCUACUGGAAACGGUAGCUAUUAUCGCACACCCUCGGAUGUGCCCAGAUGGGAUUAGCUAGUAGGUGGGGUAACGGCUCACCUAGGCGACGAUCCCUAGCUGGUCUGAGAGGAUGACCAGCCACACUGGAACUGAGACACGGUCCAGACUCCUACGGGAGGCAGCAGUGGGGAAUAUUGCACAAUGGGCGCAAGCCUGAUGCAGCCAUGCCGCGUGUAUGAAGAAGGCCUUCGGGUUGUAAAGUACUUUCAGCGAGGAGGCGUUACUCGCAGAAGAAGCACCGGCUAACUCCGUGCCAGCCGCCGCGGUAAUAC
rnacentral:rRNA from 1 species